AGUGAACGCUGGCGGUAGGCCUAACACAUGCAAGUCGAACGGCAGCACAGUAAGAGCUUGCUCUUACGAGUGGCGAGUGGCGGACGGGUGAGGAAUACAUCGGAAUCUACUUUUUCGUGGGGGAUAACGUAGGGAAACUUACGCUAAUACCGCAUACGACCUACGGGUGAAAGCAGGGGAUCUUCGGACCUUGCGCGAUUGAAUGAGCCGAUGUCGGAUUAGCUAGUUGGCGGGGUAAAGGCCCACCAAGGCGACGAUCCGUAGCUGGUCUGAGAGGAUGAGCAGCCACACUGGAACUGAGACACGGUCCAGACUCCUACGGGAGGCAGCAGUGGGGAAUAUUGGACAAUGGGCGCAAGCCUGAUCCAGCCAUACCGCGUGGGUGAAGAAGGCCUUCGGGUUGUAAAGCCCUUUUGUUGGGAAAGAAAAGCAGCAGGUUAAUACCCCGCUGUUCUGACGGUACCCAAAGAAUAAGCACCGGCUAACUUCGUG
rnacentral:rRNA from 1 species